GGAAUAAAAACUACCUUCCUUCCUGUUUUAGUUAGGGUUUUCAAUGUUGAGAUCAAAAUUCUCAAAAAAGAACAACUUACAAGAGGAAAACUUGGGGGCUCAUGGUUUCAGAGGUUUCAAUCCACAGAUGGCCAACUCCAUUGCUCUGGGUCCAAGUGGCUUUGUAAUCAUCCAAGCUGGAAACAACCCAAAUGUCUUUCAACUGGCAUAUGAAUGAACUGUGAUGCAUUCAAACAAUGAAAUACUACUCAAUAACCUAAGAAAGAAUAAACAGGUGAUGCAUAGAACAACAUGGAUGAAUCUCAAAUAUACCAUUCUAAGUGAGAGAAGCCAGUUCCAGAAAAGCCCCUGGGGAUUUGUAUAAAUCUGAGUCCUGAUUAACAGAAAUCGACUCUAAUUUACAAGUUUCUUCCAUUGCUUCAUUUCAUUGCAUAUCUCAAUGACAGUGAUAUUUAGUAACAUCAUCAAUAAAUAUGGAAUUAUCGCUGUUAUAAAAUAUCUUUUCCUCCCUUUUACAACAAGUAAGGAGAAAAUAUAUAGCACAUUAAAAGCAAAAGUUGUCAUUGCACUUUGACUAAAAUGCAAAAAAAUCACACACACACACACACACCACCACCACCACCACCACCACCACCAAAUUUAGUAAUGCUGUCCGAAGCAAGUAUUAAAACUUGGGAAAUGUAGUGAAUAAAGCUAGAUGGAAAAUAAAGAGUCAUAUGUUUUUUAAAGUCUAUACAUAUGAUCUAACCUCUGACUGUCCUAUUCCCUUAAGCCACAUGCCUUGUAAUAUAUUUUUACAAUGUCAGAGUUUCAAUAUCAUGUGGAUUAUUAGAAUUUGUAUCUACAGCAACCCAAAUGUUUGAGACCAUACCCAAAGAAAUAAUAAGAAGAGAAUGAAGGGAGGUCAUAUUUAUAACCAGUCUGGUUUUUAGCUAUUCUAAGUUCCUUUGGUUGUAAAUUUUAACCCUGCUCUUGAGUUUUUAAUUCAUCUAUACAUUUAGAAUACAGUCCCACAAUAAACAAAUCCUGAGAUAUAUUAUAUGUGUAUAUGUCUUGCAUUUUUUCAAAUAAAUUACACAAAUGGAUUUCUAGAAAAACCUUGAAAGAUGCAUGAAUAUAUACAUAUACAUGAAUAUAAAUAGCACCGGCACACUGCUACAUUUGUGUUGAAUGUGUUUACAUCUAUUUUUUCCAUAAGCAUCUAUGGGAUUUCCAUGAUGAUGUUGUUUUAAGGAUAAUAGGAAGCAAACACUUUCUGGUGAUGCAAUUAAAUCACCAAGCAUAAAGAUAUCUAAACAUAUCAACUGACAACACAGCGCUGCUACGAGGUAACUGCUCCAACAUCUGCGACACUGAAGUUAAUCAUGACUCCAGCAAGAACAUCCUCCAUGUGCUGCAUAAGAGAGACACUAAUUAAUCAUUAAGUGGCCUUACAUCAUACAGGCCUGCUGCUUCUGUUUCAAAUCAACUGAAGUGGUGCAGAGCAGCAGUAGCAGGAGCAACAGCAGCAGCUCCAAAUAUUAAACAUGAAAGAGAAAGUGUGGAUUACUGAAACUCUGAGAGGAAGGUAGUUUGCAACUGAUACUUGAAUUGUUUAAUAAAUAAGCACCCAACCUCACUUUACUGAUUGAUGGACUGUACUGGCCACUUGCCAGAAGCAUUUUCUAAUUUACACUAAUGGGAGGUAAAUUUUCCCUGAUUGUGGAGGUGUGAGUUCUUGAGACUUCCCACCUUACAUCAUGAAGGAAUACAAUAUGAUAGAUGCGGUAUUUUCCAGCCUUUACAGUUGAGGGUAUAGUCCAUUAUUUGAGGGAUUCACACAUUCUCUACCCUCAGAAAUAUUUUAUUGGUUCUCAGAAAUAUUUAACUAGAUUAGUCAAACUCUCAGGAUGAUCUCAUUUUAUGUGCCCAUUGUGAGAGAUUUAGAAAAUGUAGAAGAGAUCACAGAUCAAAAUAAAAAUUUCUAAUAGCCACCAACCAAAGGAACCCAUUGUUAAAAUGUGUGUGUGUAUGUGUGUGUGUGUGUGUGUGUGUGUUCUUCCUGUCACAGGAAUAGCUAACCUUUACUGAGAGCUUACAGUGUGCCGGCCACUCUUCCAAGCACUUCAUACAUAUACUCAGUCCUCACAAUAAUCCAA